rnacentral:rRNA from 1 species
UGGGAGCUUGCUCCCUGAUGUUAGCGGCGGACGGGUGAGUAACACGUGGGUAACCUGCCUGUAAGACUGGGAUAACUCCGGGAAACCGGGGCUAAUACCGGAUGGUUGUUUGAACCGCAUGGUUCAGACAUAAAAGGUGGCUUCGGCUACCACUUACAGAUGGACCCGCGGCGCAUUAGCUAGUUGGUGAGGUAACGGCUCACCAAGGCGACGAUGCGUAGCCGACCUGAGAGGGUGAUCGGCCACACUGGGACUGAGACACGGCCCAGACUCCUACGGGAGGCAGCAGUAGGGAAUCUUCCGCAAUGGACGAAAGUCUGACGGAGCAACGCCGCGUGAGUGAUGAAGGUUUUCGGAUCGUAAAGCUCUGUUGUUAGGGAAGAACAAGUGCCGUUCAAAUAGGGCGGCACCUUGACGGUACCUAACCAGAAAGCCACGGCUAACUACGUGCCAGCAGCCGCGGUAAUACGUAGGUGGCAAGCGUUGUCCGGAAUUAUUGGGCGUAAAGGGCUCGCAGGCGGUUUCUUAAGUCUGAUGUGAAAGCCCCCGGCUCAACCGGGGAGGGUCAUUGGAAACUGGGGAACUUGAGUGCAGAAGAGGAGAGUGGAAUUCCACGUGUAGCGGUGAAAUGCGUAGAGAUGUGGAGGAAC